rnacentral:rRNA from 1 species
CCCGCUCAAGAAACUUAAAGGAAUUGACGGGGGCCCGCACAAGCGGAGGAGCAUGUGGUUUAAUUCGAUGAUACGCGAGGAACCUUACCUGGGCUCGAACGUAAGAUGACUGUAGGUGAAAGCUUACAUCUCUUCGGAGCAUUUUACGAGGUGCUGCAUGGUUGUCGUCAGCUCGUGCCGUGAGGUGUCGGGUUAAGUCCCAUAACGAGCGCAACCCCUACCUUUUAGUUGCCAUCAGGUAAUGCUGGGGACUCUAAAGGAACUGCCUACGCAAGUAGUGAGGAAGGCGGGGAUGACGUCAAAUCAGCACGGCCCUUACGUCCAGGGCUACACACGUGCUACAAUGGCCGAUACAGAGGGCAGCUACCUGGUGACAGGAUGCAAAUCUCCAAAGUCGGUCUCAGUUCGGAUUGCAGGCUGAAACUCGCCUACAUGAAGCUGGAAUCGCUAGUAAUCGUGGAUCAGCCAAGCCGCGGUGAAUACGUUCCCGGGCCUU